AUUGAACGCUGGCGGCAGGCCUAACACAUGCAAGUCGAACGGUAGCACAGAGAGCUUGCUCUCGGGUGACGAGUGGCGGACGGGUGAGUAAUGUCUGGGAAACUGCCUGAUGGAGGGGGAUAACUACUGGAAACGGUAGCUAAUACCGCAUAACGUCGCAAGACCAAAGAGGGGGACCUUCGGGCCUCUUGCCAUCAGAUGUGCCCAGAUGGGAUUAGCUAGUAGGUGGGGUAACGGCUCACCUAGGCGACGAUCCCUAGCUGGUCUGAGAGGAUGACCAGCCACACUGGAACUGAGACACGGUCCAGACUCCUACGGGAGGCAGCAGUGGGGAAUAUUGCACAAUGGGCGCAAGCCUGAUGCAGCCAUGCCGCGUGUAUGAAGAAGGCCUUCGGGUUGUAAAGUACUUUCAGCGGGGAGGAAGGUGUUGUGGUUAAUAACCACAGCAAU
rnacentral:rRNA from 1 species